UGGCGAACGGGGUGAGUAACACGUGGGGCAACCUGCCCAAAAGAGGGGGAUAACACUUGGAAACAGGUGCUAAUACCGCAUAACCAUAGUUACCGCAUGGUAACUAUGUAAAAGGUGGCUAUGCUACCGCUUUUGGAUGGGCCCGCGGCGCAUUAGCUAGUUGGUGGGGUAAAGGCUUACCAAGGCAAUGAUGCGUAGCCGAACUGAGAGGUUGAUCGGCCACAUUGGGACUGAGACACGGCCCAAACUCCUACGGAAGGCAGCAG
rnacentral:rRNA from 1 species